rnacentral:misc_RNA from 1 species
GAUGAAGAACGCAGCAAAAUGCGAUACUUGGUGUGAAUUGCAGAAUCCCGUGAACCAUCGAGUUUUUGAACGCAAGUUGCGCCCGAAGCCUUUUGGCCGAGGGCACGUCUGCCUGGGCGUCACGCAUCGCGUCGCCCCCCACAAUUCUCCGUAAAGGGAACAUGUGUUUUGGGGGCGGAUAUUGGUCUCCCGUGCUCAUGGCGUGGUUGGCCGAAAUAGGAGUCCUUUCGAUGGACGCACGAACCAGUGGUGGUCGUAAAAACCCUCGUCUUUUGUUUCGUGCUGUUGCUCGCAAGGUAAACUCUUUAAAAACCCCAAUGUGUCGUCUCUUGACGACGCUUCGACCGCGACCCCAGGUCAGGCGGGACUACCCGCUGAGUUUAAGCAUAUCAAUAAGCGGAGGA